rnacentral:rRNA from 1 species
GAUGAACGCUGGCGGCGUGCCUAAUACAUGCAAGUCGAGCGAAUGGUCGAGCAGUUUGCUUUUCUGAUGUUAGCGUCGGACGUGUGAGUAACACGUGGAUAACCUACCUAUAAUACUGGGAUAACUUCGGGAAACCGGUUCUAAUACCUGAUAAUAUUUAGAACCUCAUGGUUCAAAAGUGAAAGAGGGUCUUUCUGUUACUUAUAGAUGGAUCUUCGCUGCUUUAGCAAGUUGGUAAGGUAACGGCUUACCAAGGCAACGAUGAAUAACCGAGCUGAGAGGGUGAUCGGCAACACUGGAAAGGGGACGCGGACCAGACUCCGAAGGGAGGCAGCAGUAGGGAAUCUUCGGCAAUGGGCGAAAGCCUGACGGAGCAACGGCGCGUGAGUGAUGAAGGUCUUCGGAGCGUAAAACUCUGUUAUUAGGGAAGAACAUAUGUGUAAGUAACUGUGCACAUCUUGACGGUACCUAAUCAGAAAGCCACGGCUAACUUCGUG